GGCAGAUAGUUCAGUGGUUAGAACAACAGACUAGUUGGUUGUCGCGGGUUCGAUUCCCGUCAAAGCGCCA
rnacentral:tRNA from 1 species